AACAACAGCAGCCACACAACAAAACUCUAUUGAAAGCCUCUCCCUCCCACUUCUUUCCUUUAGGGUUUUCUCAAUAACGUAGACAAGAUGUUCAGAAGAGGACCUUCGAGUAAGAGCGACAACACCAAGUUCUACGAGAUCCUCGGCGUCCCCAAGACCGCAUCACCCGAAGAUCUCAAAAAGGCUUACAAGAAAGCCGCCAUCAAAAACCAUCCCGACAAGGGUGGAGAUCCCGAGAAGGUAUGAAUCCUUCGAUCCCCUUCUGUGUAAUUCAAUAAAGUUAGCUCUUUUAUAGUUUGGUUUGGAUUCUCCGACCGGUAGAUGUCGUGUAAGAGCGUGGAUUCUUCGUAAGAUGUCCGAUUCGAUCUGAAAGGUGCGAGCUUUAGGUCAAUUGGUUGACUUUUGUUUCAUGUCUCUUUUUAGUUCAAAGAGCUAGCUCAGGCUUAUGAAGUUUUAAGUGAUCCGGAGAAGCGUGAGAUCUACGAUCAGUAUGGAGAGGAUGCACUCAAGGAGGGAAUGGGUGGUGGAGGCGGUGGGCAUGACCCCUUUGAUAUCUUCUCGUCCUUCUUUGGUGGUGGUGGUGGUAGCCCAUUUGGAGGUUAGUCUCUCUAAAAGAGUCGUUGGAUUCUCCCAUUUAACAAUAUGUUUCGCGUUUAAAAUGGAUGAUAAAAGUUGGAUGUUGUUUUUGAUUAGGUGGCAGCAGCCGUGGAAGGAGGCAGAGGCGUGGUGAAGACGUUGUUCACCCUCUGAAGGUUUCACUAGAGGAUCUUUAUCUCGGAACAACUAAGAAGCUCUCACUUUCUAGGAAUGCUUUGUGUUCCAAGUGUAACGGGUUAGUUAGUUAGUUAGUUCUACUUUCUAAGAUAUGCUUUAAAAGAGUUUGCUUUAAAAGAGUUUUGGACUGAGAUUAGUUGCUUUGUGAUGGCAGAAAGGGUUCAAAGUCUGGAGCUUCAUCGACAUGUAGUGGAUGUCAAGGAUCUGGAAUGAAGGUUUCAAUCAGGCAGCUUGGACCGGGAAUGAUUCAGCAGAUGCAGCACCCUUGUCAUGAUUGCAAAGGUACAGGAGAGACCAUCAAUGACCGUGACAGGUGUCCACAAUGCAAAGGGGAUAAGGUUGUCUCUGAGAAGAAGGUGCUUGAAGUAGCUGUUGAAAAGGGAAUGCAGCAUAGUCAGAAGAUCACAUUCAGUGGACAAGCAGAUGAAGCGGUUUGUGCUACUCACUUUGUCCUUACGUUUGGUCGUUAUAUUAUUCGUUUUUUUUACUUUGUGCUCUUUUGAAAACAGCCGGAUACAGUCACUGGAGAUAUAGUGUUCGUCAUUCAACAGAAAGAGCACCCAAAGUUCAAGAGAAAGGGAGAUGAUCUCUUUGUGGAGCACACCCUCUCUCUUACAGAAGCUCUCUGUGGGUUCCAGUUUGUCUUGACCCAUUUGGACAAAAGACAGCUUCUCAUCAAAUCCAGUCCGGGAGAGGUUGUGAAGCCAGGUACAUACUUCAAUCAUGAUCAUCCCUCUCUCAUUGUUACUAUAUCCACGAGCUUCUCUCUUUCUUACAGUGGUAUGUGUUUGGUUGAUGAUAGAUUCAUACAGGGCGAUAACCGAUGAGGGAAUGCCUAUGCACCAAAGGCCGUUCAUGAAGGGCAAGCUUUACAUCCACUUCACGGUCGACUUCCCUGACUCGUUGAGCCCUGACCAGACAAAGGCCAUUGAAGCGGUUUUGCCGAAGCCAAAGGCGGAUCUGAGCGACAUGGAAAUAGACGAAUGCGAGGAGACGACGCUGCACGAAGUGAACAUUGAGGAUGAGAUGAGAAGGAAGGCUCAAGCUCAAAGAGAGGCUUAUGAUGAUGACGAUGAUGAUGAAGAAGGCCCAGGUGGUGCUCAGCGUGUGCAAUGUGCCCAGCAGUGAUAUCAAACAUGCGCACUUGUAGUGAUAUUCAGCACUUGCGUUUUCUUAAACUUAUAUGUAUUAUUUUUGGGUCUUUGCUAUAAGACUUUUGCCCGAUUCUGUUGGAAGAAACUUGUCCUAAUUCAAUUUCUUGUCACAAUGUUGGUAACCCAUUCAGCAAACGCAAACGUAAAACUUGCAAACGGCACACGCUAGCACGAAGAACACAAUCAAGAUUUUGAGAAAACAAUGGUCUGGUAGAAUAAAGAAUGAGCAAUCAAAAUCGAAUAGUGUUGCUGAGUUUGUCGUGGUAAACCAUUGGCGCCACUGUUGCAAUAUAUAUACAUUUCACAAAAGUUAAUUGAAUUAUGUUCUAAAUUUCUAUAUAUACUAGAUGACUAGGUGUUUUGCCCGCACAUGUGGAUCUAAUUUUUUUUGUGAACAUUUAUUAGUUUAUGUUUUAUUAAUUCAAAACCCAAAGUGAUAAUUUUUUAUUUAUAUUUUUUAAAAAAUUAAAUAAAACAUCAAAUUAUUUAUAUAUAACAAAUAUUUUUAUUUAUACAAAUGCUAUUUUAUUAAUAUUUAAUUAUAAAUAAUUUCAUAUCUUAAUUUUCAAUUUUUAUAAUAGAAAAAUAUUAUUUUAAAAUAAUAAUAUAAUAUAUAAGAUAACAACACAAUAUAAUAAAAAUUAUCUUAUUAUAAUAUAUACAGAAAUUAUCUUUUUAUAUGAUAAUUUUUUAUUUAUAUUUUUUAAAAAAUUAAAUAAAACAUCAAAUCUAUACUAUUAUUUGCGGAAUAAAUUUUUGAAAUCGAGCUCUCAUGUUAAAAGUUAGAGUGAUUAAUAUCGUUUAUACUCUUAAUGAAUAAAAUGUAUAAAUAAAUUAAAAAUAAACACAAAAUUUUAAUUGAUUUGAUUAGAUAAUUGAUUAAUAUUACUAAUAGUAAGAAUUAUCCAAAAUCUAAAAAUAUAAUUUAAAAAAGAGAUAAUUUUUGUAUAUAUUGUAUUGUUAUCUGAAAAAGUCUUUUAGUAAAAAGCUAAAAACAUAAAUUAAAUAACUAAAUAUUAAUUAAAUAAAAUUCUUAAUUAUAUAAUUAAAAAUAGAAUAUUGAAAUCCAAAAUCUAAAAAAAUAAUUAAAAAAUAAUUUAUAUAUAUAUAUUGUAUUUUUAUCUAAAAAAAUAUUUUAGUAAAACGUUAAAAACAUAAAUUAUAUAGUUAAAUAUUAAUCAAAUAAUUUUUUUAAUUAUAUAAUUAAAAAUAUAAUAUUGAGUUAUUUUAAGAUUUAUUUUAGUAAUGAAUAUAGUGUACAAAGAACUUUUCAAAAAUUUAUGAAAAUGUUUAAGUCCGCGUCGCGGGCAAAACACUUAGUUAUUUAUAUAUGACAAAUAUUUUUAUUUAUAUAAAUGCUUUUUUUAUUAAUAUUUAAUUAUAAAUAAUUUCAUAUCUAAAUUUUCAAUUUUUAUAAUAGAAAAAUAUUAUUUCAAGAUAACAAUACAAUAUAUAAGAUAACAACACAAUAUAAUAAGAAUUAUCUUAUUAUAAUAUAUACAGAAAUUUUCUUUUUAUAUGAUAAUUUCUUAUUUAUAUUUUUCAAAAAUUAAAUAAAACAUCAAAUUAUUUAUAUAUGACAAAUUUUUUAUUUAUACAAAUUCUUUUUUAUUAAUAUUUAAUUAUAAAUAAUUUUAUUUCUUAAUUGUCAAUUUUUAUAAUAGAAAAAUAUUAUUUCAAUAUAACAAUACAAUAUAUAAGAUAACAACACAAUAUAAUAAGAAUUAUCUUAUUAUAAUAUAUACAGAAAUUAUCGUUUUAUUUUUAAAUGUAUUUUUAGAUUUUGGAUAAUUCUUAGUUUUAAUCACUUAUAUUAUUAAAAAAUCAAAUUUGUUUUUAUUUUUUAUUAAUUUAUAUAUUUAAUUUAUUAAGGGUAUAAUUGAUAUUAACCACUCUAACUUUUAACGUGAGAGCUCCGUUGCAAAAAUUUACUUCGUAAAUAAUAGUAUAGAUAACUGGGCACUUGUUUAGAGUGAGACUUUAUACCAAUAUUUGUUCAUUAAAUGGUUUUAACAUUUUGCAACACUGCAAUUUUUAUUGACUAUAAAAUGACUAAUACAAAUGUUAGUUUCUUAAAUGUAUUAUUGUUGUUAAAGAGUAUAUUUUAAUUAUUUUUAAAAUUUAUUAUAUGCACAAAAAAAAUUAAGUUUUGCGGUUAACACAUAUCACCAAACCCAAUCGAUUGUAAAAUCAUGAAAGAGGAUUAGGUUUGCCGCUCUUGAUUUGCUUAAAGAUUAAAACGACGAAUGAUUAAAUACUUAAGAAUCAUAAAUGUGAUGUAUAAUUAAUUAUGAGAACCAAGAUGCAAAUAAAAAAUGAAACUUUAAAUUUAGAGUUUUGAGUAGAUUUGAAGUUUUAUUUCUUAGAACUUUGAAUUUGAAGUUUUGAAGUUUAUUUUAGAAUAGCAAAAAAUUCUAUAUUUGAAGUUAUAGAGUUUUUUUUUUGAGAUGCUCUAAGCAAAAAAAAAAACUAUAUAUUUUUUCUUCUUAAACAAAAGGGUGUUUCUAAUUUUCCAUAAAUGCCCAUAAGUAAGUAAGUAACCAUGCAAAGUUGAUAAAUGUCUAACUUAUAUUUUAAAAUAUAUAACAUUAGUGUAAAUUAAUCAUAGUUGGAUCUAUAUAUCUAAUAACAUGAUAUUCAUCUUAAUAUUUCCUAUCUCAUAUAUUAAUAGAAUACAUGAACUUGUUGAUGUAAUUUUCAAAUUCAUUUAUUUUCUUUAGAUUAGUGUAGAUUAAUCGUAUUUGGAUUUAUAUUUAAUAAAAUAAAACCUAACUUAACAUUUCAUAUCAAAUUUAUUAAUAGAGUACAUGAACUUGUUGAUGCAGUUUUCAAAUUCAUAUAUUUUCCUAUGAUUAUUUAGCUAAUUUUUAAAAAUAAAUUUCUCCUUUUCCUACUAGAGAAGAAUGAAUAAAAAAACAAAACAAAGUCUUUAAAUAAAAGGAAAGAUAUAAAAGGUUCUAGAGUGUUCGGCUGUCCCUACAAAGACCUGAACACAAACUCUUCUUCGAACAACUCAGCCACACAAACAAAACUCCAUCAAAAGCCUCUCCUCCCACCACUUUCCUUUAGGGUUUUCUUAAACAACGUAGACAAGAUGUUCAGAAGAGGACCUCCGAGUAAGAGCGACAACACCAAGUUCUACGAGAUCCUCGGCGUCCCCAAGACCGCUUCACCUGAAGAUCUCAAAAAGGCUUACAAGAAAGCCGCCAUCAAAAACCAUCCCGACAAGGGUGGAGAUCCCGAAA
rnacentral:lncRNA from 1 species